rnacentral:rRNA from 1 species
UACGUAGGGGGCAAGCGUUGUCCGGAAUUAUUGGGCGUAAAGAGCGUGUAGGCGGCCAGAUAAGUCCGCUGUGAAAUCUCGAGGCUCAACUUCGAGCUGUCGGUGGAAACUAUCUGGCUAGAGUCCGGAAGAGGAGAAUGGAAUUCCUGGUGUAGCGGUGAAAGUGCGCAGAUAUCAGGAAGAACACCCGUGGCGAAGGCGGUUCUCUGGGACGGUACUGACGCUGAGACGCGAAAGCGUGGGGAGCGAACAGG